CAGUCGCCGCGGAAAUACGUAGGGUGCGAGCGUUGUCCGGAAUUAUUGGGCGUAAAGAACUCGUAGGCGGUUUGUCGCGUCUGCUGUGAAAACUGGAGGCUCAACCUCCAGCCUGCAGUGGGUACGGGCAGACUAGAGUGCGGUAGGGGAGAUUGGAACUCCUGGUGUAACGGUGGAAUGCGCAGAUAUCAGGAAGAACACCGAUGGCGAAGGCAGAUCUCUGGGCCGUAACUGACGCUGAGGAACGAAAGCGUGGGGAGCGAACAGGAUUAGAUACCCGUGUAGUCCCUGUCUCUUAUAC
rnacentral:rRNA from 1 species